rnacentral:rRNA from 1 species
UACGUAGGGUGCGAGCGUUAAUCGGAAUUACUGGGCGUAAAGCGUGCGCAGGCGGCUUCGCAAGUCAGACGUGAAAUCCCCGGGCUUAACCUGGGAAUGGCGUUUGAAACUACGGAGCUGGAGUGUGGCAGAGGGAGGUAGAAUUCCACGUGUAGCGGUGAAAUGCGUAGAUAUGUGGAGGAAUACCGAUGGCGAAGGCAGCCUCCUGGGCCAACACUGACGCUCAUGCACGAAAGUGCGGGGAUCAAACAGG